AUGUGCACRCCCUGAUCGACCUUUCAUACACCUGUGCACAUUCUGUAGGAGAGCGGGGAAACCCUUCUUCUAUGUUUACUACACACCCUUAUAAAAGUCAUUGAACGUCUUGAACUUGUUUGCCUURAAAAGCAUUCAAAUGUAAUACAACUUUCAACAACGGAUCUCUUGGUUCUCGCAUCGAUGAAGAACGCAGCGAAAUGCGAUAAGUAAUGUGAAUUGCAGAAUUCAGUGAAUCAUCGAAUCUUUGAACGCACCUUGCGCUCCUUGGUAUUCCGAGGAGCAUGCCUGUUUGAGUGUCAUUAAAUUCUCAACCCCUUCAACUUUGUUGAUGGAGGGGCUUGGACUUGGAGUGUGCCGGCGUGAGUCGACUCCUCUUUAAAUGCAUUAGCAGAAAUCCCCCUUUCUUGCAGUUGGUGUGAUAAUUAUCUACGCCAGAAGCUURYGAAGGAAUGUUUCCGCUUCAAAUCGUCUUAGGACAACUUUGAAUACAUUUUUGACCUCAAAUCAGGUAGGACUACCCGCUGAACUUAAGCAUAUC
rnacentral:rRNA from 1 species